GACGAACGCUGGCGGCGUGCCUAAUACAUGCAAGUCGAACGCUGCUGAGUGGAGCUUUCCCUUUUUGGAUGUGUCGCGAACGGGUGAGUAACGAGUAGGUCACCCGCCCUGUAGCGGGGGGAUAAUACUGGAAACGAUAGCCAAUACCCCAUACCAAUGGUUGUCACCUGUCAUUUAUUUGAAAGGGCCACUUCCUCCACUACAAGCUGGUGCUGCGUUGUAUUAGCUAGUAGGUGGGGUAAUGGCUCACCUAGGCGACGAUGCAUCGCCGACCUGAGAGGGUGAUCGGCCACACUGGGACUGAGACACGGCCCAAACUCCUACGGGAGGCAGCAGUAGGGAAUCUUCGGCAAUGGGGGCAAGCCUGACGGAGCAACGCCGCGUGAGUGAAGAAGGCUUUCGGAUCGUAAAGCUCUGUUGUAAGGGAAGAACAAGUGUGGGACUAGAAAGUUCACGCUGUGACGGUAGCUGGCCAGAAAGGCACGGCUAACUACGUG
rnacentral:rRNA from 1 species